rnacentral:rRNA from 1 species
GACAGAGGGUGCGAACGUUGUUCGGAAUUACUGGGCGUAAAGCGCAUGUAGGCGGCAGCGCAAGUCGGGCGUGAAAUCCCACGGCUCAACCGUGGAAGUGCACUCGAAACUGCGCAGCUAGAGUCCUGGAGAGGAAGGUGGAAUGCUUGGUGUAGAGGUGAAAUUCGUAGAUAUCAAGCGGAACACCGGUGGCGAAGGCGGCCUUCUGGACAGUGACUGACGCUGAGAGUGCGA